rnacentral:rRNA from 1 species
CCUUUGAUGACGACUGGCGCACGGGUGAGUAACGCGUAUCCAACCUUCCCAUAACUACGGGAUAACCCGUUGAAAGACGGCCUAAUACCGUAUGAUAUCGUUUGCUGACAUCAAAUAACGAUUAAAGGUUUAGCGGUUAUGGAUGGGAUGCGUCUGAUUAGCUUGUUGGCGGGGUAACGGCCCACCAAGGCUACGAUCAGUAGGGGUUCUGAGAGGAAGGUCCCCCACAUUGGAACUGAGACACGGUCCAAACUCCUACGGGAGGCAGCAGCU